UACUCCUACGGGAGGCAGCAGUGGGGAAUUUUGGACAAUGGGCGAAAGCCUGAUCCAGCCAUGCCGCGUGAGUGAAGAAGGCCUUCGGGUUGUAAAGCUCUUUUAGUCGGAAAGAAAGAGUCAUAGUAAAUAGCUAUGAUUUAUGACGGUACCGACAGAAAAAGCACCGGCUAACUACGUGCCAGCAGCCGCGGUAAUACGUAGGGUGCGAGCGUUAAUCGGAAUUACUGGGCGUAAAGGGUGCGCAGGCGGCCUUGUAAGUCAGAUGUGAAAGCCCCGGGCUUAACCUGGGAAUUGCGUUUGAAACUACAAAGCUAGAGUGCAGCAGAGGGGAGUGGAAUUCCAUGUGUAGCAGUGAAAUGCGUAGAGAUGUGGAAGAACACCGAUGGCGAAGGCAGCUCCCUGGGUUGACACUGACGCUCAUGCACGAAAGCGUGGGGAGCA
rnacentral:rRNA from 1 species